CCGCGCGUUUUUUGUAUCUGUCAUCCUUGCUCUCAUGGGAUUGAGUCGCACGGAGUCAAUUUGGAGUCAAUACUAUUUGCGGGAAAGAGUCGACCGGAGUCACCUUGUUAAGUGGUUUAUAGCCCAGUCGUGGGUGGACGCAUAAUUAUACCCUGGGACGUAUAACCUUUAUAGACGAUAUCGAACACGGUGACUAUAAAUAAUACCAAUAUCGAAAUUCGUUGACAUCUCAACUGAUUGCCACUGUGGUGUGUUAAUAAAAGAAAGCAGUUAUGCCUACAAAUUCGAUCCAGUAUUCUGAAAAAUACUCAGAUGACAGAUAUGAAUACAGGCAUGUGAUGCUGCCAUCAAACUUGGCCAAGAGUGUUCCAAUGACCCACCUGAUGACUGAGAGUGAAUGGAGGAAUCUUGGUGUACAGCAGUCUCCGGGCUGGGUCCACUAUAUGGUUCAUCUUCCUGAGCCGCACGUGCUUCUGUUCCGGAGGCCGCUGCCUCAGCCAUCAGGAGGACGGUCUGCGGCCCAUCAGAGCCAGCCGGUCACCUGCCAGUAAAGUGAGACAUCACCCAGCCCGUCACCUGCCAAUGACGUGACGUCACUCAGCUGGUCAUUAUCGGUGUUACGUCACCAGUAGGACGAGACGUCUCUGCUGCGGUACCGUUUCUCCGUCAUGGUAGGUUCUGUGUGGCGGUGCUGUGACCAAUCUCAGCGGGAUAACUGAGACUGUAACACGGGGUGUUUGAACGUUGUAAGACAUUGCUCUGUCACCGUGGGUUUAGACUGUCGAUGGUUGCUGGCGAUGAUCAGGCAAUGCUGUCAGACUUGGUGUCUGUUGUCGGAGAAUGUGUUAUUGCUAGGUCCAAGGUCAUCAGUGUUUCAUCUAUCAUAUUUUCAUCUCAUAGUUCAAACAUUCGGUAAACUAAGCUGUGCGGCCGUGUUCGUCGCUUUUUCCGAAAUUCCCAUAAGGGGGUGGAAGAAGAGACCCAAGCCAUGGGUGGUGGGCUGUAGUAACUAGUAACCGGACAGAUAAUCCGACUAACGGUGAUCCACGCUAAUUGCUCUUUUGGCAAUUUGUUCUCCAAAGUGUAUACCAAUUUUCUCGGCUAUAAUCGACUGCAGGUCCGUUCCGUUCGAUAUUACGUACUGAAGGGUGUCUCGACUCUCGUGUUCCAUUUCACAUCUGACUGUCACCUGUUAGGUACUUCCGUGUUUUGCAUGAAGGUGUGGUUUGGUUUGGAGCCCUGUCUUAUCUGUGCGUAAUGCGUAUGCCCUGCAAUCUGCAUGCAUUGCAAUAUAAUGUUACCAAAGCAAUA